GCACAUGCGUGGAGCUGCUGCUACAGACGGUUUCGUUGGAAGACGUUAGGGAAUGGGUGGCUGAAUUGCAUCUACAUGAAAAUGGUAAUAUCAAAACAACAACAACGAUAAACAAUGAACAAUGAAAUCAGCCAUAAACGUAACGAAACGAAAUGACGCACAGUCAGACGGAUCAAUGGCAAGGGAUAAGCCCGCCAGCCACCAAUAAAGAAAGAACAAAAAACAGAAAACAAAAAAAUACCCAAAUGGCAAUUUGUCUGGGAUUAGACGGCCAAUGGGUUUGCGUGUCCAAGGCUAAAACUCAAUUGACAACUCAAUACCAAUAAUGGCAAACCACCAAAUGGGCCAGCCGAACAACACGCUGUCAACGCGGCUAAUUACUCACAUCCAAAUGGUCUGCUGCUUGGCAGGAUUCCAAAUGCCAAACACUCAACUAGCAACAGCAGCCACAACAAUGUUUGGCGCAGUCAACGAACGUUGAAACAAAGCAGAUUCAAAAACUCAAUCAGGAUUCCCGCAUAAAUACUUGACGACACUUUGCAUACCCUUUAGCAGAGUAGCCGAAACAAUAACGUAGCUUUAAUAUUUUCUAAAAUACCCUUUAACAGAGCUGUUAAGGAAAAACUUGACGUAGCUUAAUUUCUUUUAAUUCAAGUUAGAGCUCUAACGGAAAUUACUCUGCGAAUAAAGUACUCCGAAAUGCUAUAUUAGAAAAUGUCUAUGCGGAACAAAAUAAUAAUAAUAAUAA